UGGUUCUGGCAUCGAUGAAGAACGCAGCGAAAUGCGAUAAGUAAUGUGAAUUGCAGAAUUCAGUGAAUCAUCGAAUCUUUGAACGCAUAUUGCGCCCUUUGGUAUUCCGAAGGGCAUGCCUGUUCGAGCGUUAUUAUCAACUAUCAAGCCUGGCUUGUUAUUGGACUUUUGGUUAUAAGACCAGUCUUAAAAAUAGUAGGUAGGACCUCAUGGCUCUCGGUAUAACAAGCUUUUUUACAGCAUAUAUGCGCAGACCUGUGGUCCUACCUUUGAACCCUAAUUUUCUAUGGUUAACCUCGGAUCAGGUAGGAAUACCCGCUGA
rnacentral:misc_RNA from 1 species